rnacentral:rRNA from 1 species
GCAAGUCGAGCGGUAACAGAUCGCUGUGAUCCCUUCGGGGUGAACUUGAUGCUGACGAGCGGCGGACGGGUGAGUAACGCGUAGGAAUCUACCCAGUAGCGGGGGAUAGCCCGGGGAAACUCGGAUUAAUACCGCAUACGCCCUAUGGGGGAAAGGCGGGGAUCUCUUCGGAGACCUGUCACUAUUGGAGGAGCCUGCGUUGGAUUAGCUAGUUGGUGGGGUAAAGGCCCACCAAGGCCACGAUCCAUAGCUGUUCUGAGAGGAAGAUC